GAAGGCAGUAUGCUUGGUAAAAGUCAUCGCCAUUCUCUAAUCUUGAGUACCCAGGGACACGAUACACUGCGGAAGGCUGCAGGGACCUCUGCCCAGGAAAGCCAGGAUCCAGUAUCUGCCGGAGGAGCCCCACCUUCUGCUACUAUUAUGUUCUUCAGAUGAGUAGAAGAGAGUGGGGAGGGAGAGAGCAGGAAGAAGAAAGGAAGAAUAAUGUCUUGAAAUUGUUUUCUAAGGAUAAUGGUCUCCAGCUUCGUCAAUGUUCCUGCAAAGGACAUGAUGCUGACUUUGAAGAUGCAAGCUUCCACAUCUACAGCCUCAAGGAAACAAAUUCAGCCAACCAACUGAGGGAGCUUUCCUUGUCCUGCCUCAAGAUGAGAUCACAGUCUGCCCAACACCAUGAUUUAGGCCUUGUGACACCUGAGCUCAGAUGGAAAAGAAUGGUGUUACUGAGACCCUUCAAGAUUCCCAGUGUAAUUCAAUAAAGAAAAGGCAACACAAAGGGGUUGUAUAGAAUUCGCCACAUUAUGGACCCAUGUCAUAGAGAGAAUCCACGGUGCAUUUGUUAGCUGCAUUUAAAUGACAACACUUUCAGAUCCAAGAUUUAUUUGGGAUAAAAAUUUACCUGGAUGCAAGGCUAUUCAGAAUGAAGAUUAAUGAUAUGGUUUGGCUGUGUCCCCACCCAAACUUCAUCUUGAAUUCCCACGUGUUGUGAGAGGGACCUGGUGGGAGAUAAUUGAACCAUGGGGGCAGGUCUUUCUCAUGCUGUUCUCAUGAGAGUGAAUAAGUCUCAUGAAACCUGAUGGUUUUAUAAGGGGGAAUUUCCCUGCACAAGCUCUCUCUCUGCCUUUUGCCAUCCAUGUAAGACGUGACUUGGUCCUCCUUGCCUUCUACCAUGAUUAUGAGGCCUCCCCAGCCACGUGGAACUGUGAGUCCAUUAAACCUCUUUCUUUUGUAAA
rnacentral:lncRNA from 1 species